GCGAACUCCGGAAACCUCAACUCACCAGAGGGGGGCCUGGAUGCCUUGACGCAGGCCGCCAUGUGUGAAAUAAAACCAAUGGGCUGUGCUGGCUUCCACUUUGCUGGAGACGGGGAACCUGGGAGCGAUCAUUCUGCCCAACGAUGGGAAAUGUCACCUGGAAAACAAUGUGUACACCAGAGGUAACCUCCAGAUCAUCUUUGCUGUGACCGAGGACGUCACACACCUGUACGAGAUCCUGAAGAGCACCUUCUCAAAAAGUGCUGUCGGAACGCUCUCCAACAACUCCCAAAACAUCCUGCGUAUAAUAGGCAUAUAACCUAAGUGCAGCAGAAUACUCCCUUCCUACACAGGUCAUUAUUUCUGUGUGUACAAGGCUGCUGACGAACUGCUGACACCUCCUCAGCUACAGAGGUUAAUUGUCACACACACAUGGACAAACACGCAUGCACACACACAGACCCACACAAAAACACACUCCUCCUCAACUAAAAAGGUUAACUCUGUUAUUGACCCCAGGACCUGACCUCUGAGGUUGUUAUGGAGAAGAUUGAGCUGCCUGCAGGCUUCCAGAUAUCAUACAGCUCCCACUGUAAGAACAAUGAUGAAGAGCUGCUGAGAGGACCAGGGAAGGAGGUGCUCCAAUAUAUCCAUUGGUGAUGAGGUGAAGUUUAAUGGAACCAUCACUGCCCCUCCAUAUCUGUCUGGUACCAGUAUGGGACAGUUGCGUGGGGUCAUCAAGCCCCAGGGGUAUAGUGAGGAGCUGGAGAUUUUGCUGAAGCCCAUAUGUGACCGUCCAUGUUAGAGGGACAGGGUUCCACACUGCCCAGCCUGUAGCCAUGGUAACAGUGCCCUCGAGUGUGGAGUGUGCAGUUGUAGGGAGGGGUGUGUCGGAACGUUGUGUGAGAAAGUAAAGCCGGGCAAAGGGGAUCAUGGGAGACACCUGUGUUGCCAUGACAAUGCCUCAGAAGAGUGCAGUGGGUAUGGGGAGUAUGUUUGUGGAAAGUGUUUGUGCCAUAAUAGCCACAAAAAUCCCACAUUUCAUGCUUACUAUGUGCAGUUCUGUGAGUGCAGUGACUUCCGCUGUGACCAGUACCAGGGCUUACCAUGUGGAGGGUGGGGCAGGUGUGUGUGUGCCAGUGUCUUCUAGGGUUCAGUGGCAGUGCGUGUGAGUGCCCACUCAGCACGGACAGAUGUUUGUCCCAUAGCAGCCUGGCCUGUGCAGGGAGGGGCGUCUGCAGCUGCGGUGCCUGUCUUUGCCAGGACGGACGUCACCAAGGGCCCUACCUGUGACCUGUGCCCCACCUGCCCUAGCGCAUGCACCGCACACAGGGAUUUCAUCCUGUGUCUGGCCUUUUACCAGGGUCUGUCAGAGGAGAUGUGCCCACCUGAACCUUACCCUGGUGGGGAAGCAACCUGAUCAGCUACCCCUUGCCUCUGAGCACCACCACCCCUCCAACGGUUUCCACAGAUGUAAGGAGAGGGACACGGACGUGUGCUUGGUUCUCUUCUUGUAUCUGGCCAGACAGAGACAGGGCUUUGCCCACAUUCACACAGCCCUAAAGCGAGGUACUAAAACCUAUAUUGUCAAAGAUAAUAAUCGUUUUGCUCUCAUGAAUGUUCACUCAUUUGAUUGUGGUUAAUUUCUCCAGCCCCAUACCUCAGUUGUUUACCAAAAAAGUGCUGGGUGACCAGUUUGUUGCUGUUUAAAUCCCAGAUUUAAAGCCACACUGUCAUAAUUCCCGCUGUUCGAAGGUAAUUUGAAUUAAUGACACACCAAUUGCUUCUUCAAAGUGGCAAAAGUGAGGCUGUUGCAAUGGGAGGUUGUGUCUUUAAUGUUUGAUCUUAUUUUCUUCCUCCCAGAGUGCCUGUCAGGUUCUGAUGUAGUUCUGCUGACUGCAGUGGUGUCUGGGUCCAUGGUUUGGUCUCUGUACUGCUCUGCUAACGACUCACCUCCAUCCACAACCAGAGAGAGUUUGCCCGCUUCCACAAAGAACUGGGAGGGAUGACCUGGCUAAUUGCGAGUCCUGCUAGCCCUGCUAUACCCUCUGACCGCAGGCCCCGUUCCAAAUGGCACCCUAUUCCCUGUAUAGUGCACUACUUUUGACCAGGCCCCCUAGCACUAUAUAGAGAAUAGGGUGCCAUUUGGGACGUAAACCUAUUCUCAGUGUCUGGCUUGCCCUGAUGUGGCUGUAGACACCAUGGAGGGUUGGAAGCUACAGGUCAGACGUAUCAGGGAAAGUGUUUCACCACUCACAAGAAUAUACUGUACAUUAGCUGUUUUGUCUCUUCAAUGUCUGUGAAUUAGGAUUGUGGUGGGAGAAAUCAUUGGGGAUCAUAUAUGUACCGAUAGUGUUCCACUAUUCCAUUACAGGGUGAGAAGCCAAUCUACAAGAGUGCCAUCACAUCUAUUGUCAAUCCAAAGUAUAAAUGAUGGACGUGCUUAAACCAACUCAAGAAGUCUACUCACUCUUAGAGCCUUGAGCCUGUGAUGGGAAAGAUAACUCAAGACCAAGGGACAAUAGAAGAACACACAUUAGUUCCUCUCAUCAUUUCUAUUAAGGAUGCAUUCAUUCACCCAUGCCACAGGGUGCUCACCGUGUGGACAAAUAAUACAGAUCAUUAUAUAUCAUCAAAACAUGGUGAUGAAAAAUGUUCAUUUGAUUAAAAACGUUUGUUACAUUAA